CUAAAUUUUUUUUAUUUCUAAAGGUAAUCGGUAAAAUGAAGCCAGUUUCUUUAAUUUUAUUUGCUGCGCUAGUUGCGCUGUCAUACGCCAGAAGCUAUGAUGAUGUAAAGGAAGAAAUUAAAAACGAAGUUGAAAAUGAAAUUUUAAACGAUCUUGAAGAGGAAAAUGAUGAGUUAGAUGACAAUGCUUAAGAAGUAAAUGAUCCAAGAGCACGAAGAUGGCGCCGCGCUAUCCGACGAAUGCGCCUUAGACAAUUAGAGCCAUUAAUACGAUAUCGAUAUGUAAGAGCUCUCCAAGCCGGCAAAAAGUAAUUAUAAAAACGAAUGGAAAAAUCAAAUCAUGAAGUUAAAUUAGUUAACGAGUUUGUAAAUUUAUUUUUAUAAAAACCAAAUAAAUAAGUUUUUUUUUU
rnacentral:lncRNA from 1 species